rnacentral:rRNA from 1 species
CCUACGGGUGACUGCAGUGGGGAAUAUUGGUCAAUGAACGCAAGUCUGAACCAGCCAUGCCGCGUGCAGGAAGACGGCUCUAUGAGUGGUAAACUGCGUUUGUACGAGGGUAAACGCGGAUUCGCGUAUCAGUCUGAAAGUAUCGUACGAAUAAGGAUCGGCUAAAUCCGUGACCGCCGCCGCGGUACUAAGGAGGAUUGAAGCGGUGUCCGGAUUUAUUGGGUUUAAGGGGUGCGUAGGGUGUCGGAUAAGUUAUGGGUGAAAUCCCGAGGCUUAACUCCGGGAUUGCUUUGGAUACUGUCAGGCUAGAGAGUAGUAGCGGUAGGCGGAAUGUAUGGUGAAGCGGUGAAAUGCUUAGAGAU